rnacentral:rRNA from 1 species
GAUCCUGGCUCAGGAUGAACGCUAGCUACAGGCUUAACACAUGCAAGUCGAGGGGCAGCGGGAAGUCAGCUUGCUGACUUUGCCGGCGACCGGCGCACGGGUGAGUAACACGUAUCCAACCUUCCCGUUACUCUGGAAUAGCCUUUCGAAAGAAAGAUUAAUACCUGAUGGUAUGAUGAGAUUGCAUGAUAUCAUCAUUAAAGAUUUAUCGGUGUACGAUGGGGAUGCGUU